GGAGCCGGAGAAGAGCACUAGUAACAACCACCACAGCCCCCUCCCCGCCCGCCGCCCUCCCUCGGCACCCACCCACUCACCCGCCCCGUUUGCCGACACCGACCAACCCCACCUCUCGUUCCUUUGAACGGCGUCGGCUGCAGUCGCUUGCACCAGCCCGUCUGGCCACCAACGCCGCCGAGAAAGGAGCCGCCGCUGCCUGCGGCCCCCUCCCGCCCGGGCCGCGGGAGCAGCAGGGUGAGGACGAGCCGGCUGAGGAGGAAGAGGACAGGAGCAGCUCGCACCCCUCUGCGCUAGCGCACAUCCCGCCGCCCUCCGGGGAGGCUCGGGCGCCGGCCCCUUCCUCCCCGAGGACGUGUGCCGAGCCGAGGCGCCUGCCCUGAGGGAGGAAAAUGCUCGGGCUCCAUGGCUGCCAGUGAUGGAGCGGUCCCUGGGCUCCCGCUGCCAGUGCCGCCGCCGCGCCCCGGCCGUGCUCCGCGAGGACCCGGCGUCUCUGCGCGCCCGCCCGCGCCUCGUUGCUGGGCUCACCGUACCGGGCGCCCCGCCGCCGCCCCGCUCCGAGCCUCGCCGCCCCGGCCCCAGCCGCGGCCAGCGUUUGCUCACGGAACAGCCGCCGCGAGCCCAGGGGGUUUGAAAGGGUCCGAGGGGCGUGGGGGGAGGGCCGAGCGGGGACAGCGGGGCCGGGAGGGGAGGUUUGAGCGACACUGAGCUCGGGGCUCGCCGGCGGCGGCGGCGCUGGGGGUGGCGAGGGGAAGGCGACACUCGCUCCGCGCUGCUUUCGUGCAGAGCGACCGGGAGGGUUUUGCAGCGGCCGCCGCCGCCGCGGCGGGAGGAGGGGUUGAGGUGGCUUUUGAGUUGUCGGGAGAAGGUGGGCAUUUCUCGGUUUUCCCACCCCCUCCACUUGUCUCCCCCUUGCCUUGUCUUCCCCUCCCUCCUGCCCCGCACCCCACGUGAAGCGGAAUAUAAAGGGGGGUGUGAGACUAGAGGGGAAAGUGAAUGGCGAAGGACUGAAGGGGUCCCCCCUUCGGGUCCCUGGCCGCCCUGUUCACCCUCGUUCAUCCUCCCUUCCCGAAGCUCGCCCUCGAAGGCAGGAGCGGCCGGCGCCUUCGGCUGAGGAGGAGGAGGAGAAGGAGGAACCGCGCCGGGCGGAGCGUCAGGUCCCGUUUUCCUCCCCGGCGUCUUGAAUACAAAGAUUACGGUGCAGAAGGAAAUUGCACUCGCCUCCUCCGCCCCCCGGUACCCGACACAAUGCACCAGCCGCCUGAGUCCACCGCCGCGGCGGCCGCGGCCGCUGCAGACAUUAGUGCUAGGAAGAUGGCGCACCCGGCAAUGUUCCCUAGAAGGGGCAGCGGUAGUGGCAGCGCCUCUGCUCUCAAUGCAGCAGGUACCGGCGUUGGUAGUAGUGCCACAUCUUCCGAGGAUUUUCCGCCUCCGUCGCUGCUCCAGCCGCCACCUCCUGCAGCAUCUUCUACGUCGGGACCACAGCCUCCGCCUCCACAAAGCCUGAACCUCCUCUCUCAGGCUCAGCUGCAGGCACAGCCUCUUGCGCCAGGCGGAACUCAAAUGAAAAAGAAAAGUGGCUUCCAGAUAACUAGCGUUACCCCGGCUCAGAUCUCCGCCAGCAUCAGCUCUAACAACAGUAUCGCAGAGGACACCGAGAGCUAUGAUGACCUGGAUGAGUCUCACACGGAAGAUCUGUCUUCUUCCGAGAUCCUUGAUGUGUCACUUUCCAGGGCUACUGACUUAGGGGAGCCUGAACGCAGCUCCUCAGAAGAGACUCUGAAUAACUUCCAGGAAGCUGAGACACCUGGGGCAGUCUCUCCCAACCAGCCCCACCUUCCGCAGCCUCAUUUGCCUCACCUUCCACAACAGAACGUUGUGAUCAAUGGGAAUGCUCAUCCACACCACCUCCAUCACCACCAUCACAUCCAUCAUGGGCACCACCUACACCAUGGGCACCACCAUCCAUCCCAUGCUGGUGUGGCCAGUACAUCCAUUCCUGGAGGGCCACCCUCCAGUCCAGUAUCCAGAAAACUCUCUGCAGCUGGAAGCUCAGACAGUGUUCUAGCAGCGGCCCCAACUUCUGCUGUAUCAUCCGGUGGCUCACCUGGAUCUGUAAUGACUAAUAUCCGUGCUCCAAGUACUACUGGCAGUAUAGGUAUAAGUUCUGUUACUGGCACUAAUACAAUGAGUAAUGUCAACAUUACUGCCGUGGGUAGUUUUAAUCCUAGUGUGACAAGCAGCAUACUUGGUAAUGCUAAUAUAAAUGCAAGCAAUAUUCCUAGUGCUGCUACUGUGAGUGUUGGGCCUGGAGUUAGCAGCAGUGUUAAUGUGAAUAUCUUGAGUGGCAUGGGCAAUGGUACUAUAUCCUCCUCCGCUGUUGUUAACAGUGCCCCCAGUGCAGCUGCAGGGAUGACUGCGGGGUCCCUUUCGGGUCAGCAGCAGCCACCAACAGUUAACACGUCAAGGUUCAGAGUUGUGAAGUUAGAUUCUAGUUCUGAACCCUUUAAAAAAGGCAGAUGGACUUGCACCGAGUUCUAUGAAAAAGAAAAUGCUGUACCUGCCGCAGAAGGUGUGGCGAUAAAUAAAGUGGUGGAAACUGUGAAACAGAACCCGACAGAAGUGACUUCGGAGAGGGAGAGCACUAGUGGGAGUUCAGUGAGCAGUAGUGUCAGCACACUGAGUCACUACACGGAGAGUGUGGGAAGCGGAGAGAUGGGAGCCCCUACUGUGGUGGUGCAGCAGCAGCAACCAGCUCUUCAAGGUAUGGCUCUUCCCCAGAUGGAUUUCAGUAGCACUGGUCCCCAGAGUAUUUCAGCAGUUAGCAUUCCACAGAGUAUUUCUCAGUCACAGAUCACGCAAGUACAAUUACAGUCUCAAGAACUGAGCUAUCCUCAAAAGCAAGGUCUUCAGCCAGUACCUCUACAGGCCACUAUCAGUGCUGCAACUGGUAUCCAGCCGUCACCUGUUAGUGUGGUUGGUGUAACUUCAGCUUUAGGUCAGCAGCCUUCCAUUUCCAGUCUGGCUCAACCCCAACUACCGUAUUCUCAGACGGUUCCUCCAGUGCAAGCCCCCCUUCCAGGAGCACCACCCCAACCGUUACAGUAUGGACAACAGCAGCCGACUGUCUCUACCCAGAUGGUCCCAGGCCAUGGUAAAUCCGUGGCUCAGAAUCCUUCAGAGUAUGUGCAGCAGCAGCCGAUUCUUCAAACAGCAGUGUCCUCCGGACAGCCCAGUUCUGCAGGAGUGGGAGCAGGAGCGACAGUGAUUCCUACGGCUCAGCCACAGAGUAUCCAGCUGCCGGUGCAGCCCACGGCAAUCCAAGCACAACCUGCAGGGGCAUCCGGCCAGCCUGUUGGCCAGGCUCAAACAGCAGUAUCUGUUGUACCUACUGGCAGUCAAAUUGCAAAUAUCGGUCAACAAGCAAACAUACCUACUGCAGUGCAGCAGCCCUCUACCCAAGUCACACCUUCGGUUGUUCAGCAAGGUGCUCCUCCAUCUUCACAAAUAGUUCCACCUGCUCAAACUGCGAUUAUUCAUCAGGGAGUUCAAACUAGUGCGUCAAGCCUUCCUCAACAGUUGGUCAUUGCACCCCAGAGUACCUUGUUAACUGUGCCUCCCCAGCCACAAGGAGUAGAAUCGGUAGCUCAAGUUGUUUCGCAGCCAUUGCCUGCAGUUAGUCCUUUGCCCUCUGCUAGUAGUAUUUCUGUUACAAGUCAGGUUAGUUCAACUGGUCCUUCUGGAAUGCCUUCUGCCCCAACAAACUUGGUUCCACCACAGAAUAUAGCACAAACCCCUGCCACUCAAAAUGGUAAUUUGGUUCAAAGUGUUAGUCAACCUCCCUUGAUAGCCAGUAACAUAAAUCUGCCUUUGGCACAACAGAUACCACUAAGUUCUACUCAGUUCUCUGCACAGUCAUUAGCUCAGGCAAUUGGAAGCCAAAUUGAAGAUGCCAGGCGCCCAGCGGAACCCUCCUUAGUUGGCUUACCUCAGACUAUCAGUGGUGACAGUGGGGGAAUGUCAGCAGUUUCAGAUGGGAGUAGCAGCAGCCUAGCAGCCCCUGCUUCUCUUUUCCCGUUGAAGGUGCUACCGCUGACGACACCCCUGGUGGAUGGCGAGGAUGAGAGCUCUCUAUUUCAGUGCUUCUCUCCUACCAGAGGUGCAAGGAGUGAUCCUAGAACCACAGAUACAGCCAAGACCACGGAGAGCUUUUGACGUCAGGGGUCCACUUUCUCCACUGAACCCUUGGAGGCAGAAUAUCCAGCUUCUGGAGAGAGUGGGAAAGGAUAAUAAACAAAUUUCUUUCAACUGGUAAACAUCAUACUUCUUCAGCAAAAGGAACUCUUCUAGCAGAGCCUUCAUGGAUGAUAUCUGUCACACAUGCAGCACCUGCAGUUUGGAAGGCAGUGGUGAACGGAGCCACGCAAUAUAUCUAGAAGACACAAGGAUGAGAGAGCCACCUGAUCUUGUCAUUUAUAAACUUUAAGAUUUACUCUCGUGUACUCUUGGUCUGGAACGGAAAGGCUCAAAUAAUGAAAUAAUUUUUUCAGAUUGGAGUUUUACAUGGCCAUGCAAAUAUUCCUUUCUAUUCAGAAGACUGAAAUAGAGAAAGUAUGAGAGACUCCUUUCUUUUAAAAGCAGCUCUCUGUUUCACUUAAAAGAUUUGUGGGAUUGAAAAUCACCUUAAUGAAGCAGGCAAAUUUUUUUUUUUAGUAGUAUAGGAGAUCCAGAAAACUUAACAAAAUUAUUUUUUGUUGCCUGACACUGAAAGGAACUAGUAAAUAAAAAGGUGAACUUCUUAACUAUUUCCAAGUUGCUUUUAUUAUUAGGAUACACUCUUUUAGCUUAUCUUUUUCUGCUCUUGAGCCUUCUUAUUUGUCAAGUCAACAAAGAUUCCAGUAUAGAAGUAGAGGAGACAUCUUGAGAUCAAAGUAGCUUGUUCGGUCUUCUAAAGUAGUAAAUACCUGUUAAAUUUGAGGUAUUGUUCUGCAUGGAAGGCAUUCUAAAGUUUGAAUGAUACUGAAACAAAGACGCAUGUAGAGAGCACAGGCAGUUAGUAGUAUGGGCAUAAGUCUCCACAUGUGAAUAAGUGUUGCAAAACAUUUAAUCCAAACGGAAGUAGUUAUCAAAAUGUUUCUUUUUUUCUCUUUGGCAUCUAUUAACUGAUCAGUCAAAAGCUAUUAAAGAAGUUUUUAAAAGCUACCUGAUGCUGCCAGUUUGUUUUAUUUGGUAUAAAGUUUAGGAAUAAGAAUCCUAGAGUUAUUAAUAUGGAAGCAUCUAAAAUGAUCUUGAAGGUCUUAGGAGCCGCAUUUGCUAAGUUAUACCUGGCGUGUCGCCUCUCUUUCUAUGAGACCUUUUUUUCCCCCCAUUAGUUAUGAAUUUUUGUAUAGUACUUAAAGGUUUAAAAGAUCAGUUUGAACUAAAAUUUCCGUAGGGAGCUCUGAAUUCCCAUAAACGAUUAUAGCUUUGUAUGCUUGAUUUGUUUUUGUUAAAUUUGGAUAAGAGUCUUCACAGACACCUAUAAAUUAAAAAAUGACUACCCAACAUUUUAGAAAGAACUGAGGGGAACUGAAAGUGAAAUUUGCUUGGAAAUUAAGUUAGUUGAACUCUUGGAACCACAGUACCAACCAGUUUAUGGCCUGUGCGACUAGCCUUUUGUUUCAGUUUUAAAGAUGAAAAGUGAUUUAAUCUCUUAACCUCAUGCUUUGAUUAAAUUUUAGCUCUGUUCCUUAAAGUGUGCAAAAGAAAUGUAAGUGCAUUUAAUUCACCUCAUGCCACUAAAAGCUAUUUAAAAGUGAAACUUUUUGUAUAUUAAUGUGAACUGAUUUGUUUAUUUAAACUUUUAUUUUGAUACAUUUUCCUUUCAGAUUUUUCAAUAUUUCGUGUCACUAUGCAAUCCUAUAUUUUUCAGUGUUUAUUUUAUGAUUAUUAGUAUAAGCUAAUUUUUUUUCCUAGAAUGACUAAUUGUGUAAUAUUUGUACUAUGUGAUCAUUUGAAAACUAAUAAAUAUUUUCUCCAUGAAAAAAAUGCACUUACUGAUAAAUGGCUUAUUUUUAUUUCAGGAGUAGAAAAUGAAAACUACAACAGUAUUUUUAAGUGUAUUUUAAUUUUAUGUGUCUUCCUCUAAGUAUUUCUGAAUAUAUAUCCUCUUCUUGUGUAUGUUAACCUUUUUGGAAACAAAAUUUUUUAAAAACUAUUAAAUUAAAAUGAUUCUUCAUUGGGUCAUCCAGUCCCAAAUGUAUGAAAUAGGUGAUCUAUUUAGUCUUUUUUCUCAUUUUCCUGAUAAGCUUCAUCUUUGUUUUCAGAAUUGGAUUUUUUUUUUUUUAAGAUACCGUUUUUGUGUGUCCAUUUUACGAACCAUUAAAACUCGAGUAAAUAUUGUAAAUAUCAGGAAUAAUAUGGUCAAGUUUUUUGAAGUGAGAUUGAUCAAAAUAUAAUCCCUUACAAAAUAGCAUAUAAAAGACAAAUUCUCAACCCAGGAAAGGAACAUUUGGAAAUAAUGGCUGAUUGGAGAACUAUCCAAUUCACAAGAGCUGUUAACAGGAGAAAGAAAAAUGUUUUAAUGUUCUGUUUGAACAAAUAAUUGUAGAAGGAAAAACCUUAUUUAAGAGUCUCUUGCUUUUAACCUUAUCAAGACAACAUGGAAAAGGGUAAAGCUUGGUUUUUGGGAUUCUUUAUAGCUUACAUAAACUUAUUUGAAGCCACUGGAACAAUUUACCUUUUCUAUGCAGAGUCUGCUAGAAGCAAGAGGGUUUUCCCUUUUGAUUUGAAGAAAACUUACAUAAGAAGUGGACUCUAAAAAUUAAAAAUGAACAUUGUGAUGGUGUCCUAGGCAAGAAAUAAAAGUUGAAUUAAUGACAACUUGUGGAUUAAAAUGAAACAGUUUGGCUCCCCAAAGAAAUUAUACUCUGAAAAAAUAAAGAAAAAGG